rnacentral:rRNA from 1 species
CCAUUGGAUGAGGCCGCAGUUGAUUAGUUUGGUGGUGGGGUAAUUGCCUACCAAGACUGUGAUCAAUAGCUGAUUUGAGAGGAUGAUCAGCCACAUUGGGACUGAGACACGGCCCAAACUCCUACGGGAGGCAGCAGUAGGGAAUCUUGCACAAUGGAGGAAACUCUGAUGCAGCGAUGCCGCGUGAGUGAAGAAGGCCUUUGGGUUGUAAAGCUCUUUCGUCGGGGAAGAAAAUGACUGUACCCGAAUAAGAAGGUCCGGCUAACUUCGUGCCAGCAGCCGCGGUAAUACGAAGGGACCUAGCGUAGUUCGGAAUUACUGGGCUUAAAGAGUUCGUAGGUGGUUAAAAAAGUUGGUGGUGAAAUCCCAGAGCUUAACUCUGGAACUGCCAUCAAAACUUUUUAGCUAGAGUAUGAUAGAGGAAAGCAGAAUUUCUAGUGUAGAGGUGAAAUUCGUAGAUAUUAGAAAGAAUACCAAUUGCGAAGGCAGCUUUCUGGAUCAUUACUGACACUGAGGAACGAAAGCAUGGGUAGCGAAGAGGAUUAGAUACCCUCGUAGUCCAUGCCGUAAACGAUGUGUGCUAGACGUUGGAAAUUUAUUUUCAGUGUCGCAGCAAAAGCGUUAAGCACACCGCCUGGGGAGUACGACCGCAAGGUUAAAACUCAAAUGAAUUGACGGGGACCCGCACAAGUAGUGGAGCAUGUGGUUUAAUUCGAAGAUACGCGCAGAACCUUACCAACACUUGACAUGUUCGUCGCGACUCUAAGAGAUUAGAGUCUUCGGUUCGGCCGGACGAAACACAGGUGCUGCAUGGCUGUCGUCAGCUCGUGUCGUGAGAUGUUGGGUUAAGUCCCGCAACGAGCGCAACCCUUACUUUUAGUUGCCACCAUUUAGUUGGGCACUCUAAAAGAACUGCCAGUGAUAAGCUGGAGGAAGGUGGGGAUGACGUCAAGUCCUCAUGGCCCUUACGUGUUGGGCUACACACGUGCUACAAUGGCAUUUACAAUAGGAAGCAAGAUGGCGACAUCAAGCAAAUCCUAAAAAAUUGCCUCAGUUCGGAUUGUACUCUGCAACUC